rnacentral:rRNA from 1 species
GAGUGAACGCUGGCGGCAGGCCUAACACAUGCAAGUCGAGCGGCAGCGCGGGGGCAACCCUGGCGGCGAGCGGCGGACGGGUGAGGAAUUCGUCGGAAUCUGCCUUUUUGUGGGGGAUAACGUAGGGAAACUUACGCUAAUACCGCAUACGUCCUACGGGAGAAAGUGGGGGACCGCAAGGCCUCACGCAGAAAGAUGAGCCGACGACCGAUUAGCUAGUUGGUGGGGUAAAGGCCCACCAAGGCGACGAUCGGUAGCUGGUCUGAGAGGAUGAUCAGCCACACUGGGACUGAGACACGACCCAGACUCCUACGGGAGGCAGCAGUGGGGAAUAUUGGACAAUGGGCGCAAGCCUGAUCCAGCCAUGCCGCGUGUGUGAAGAAGGCCUUCGGGUUGUAAAGCACUUUUGUCCGGAAAGAAAUCCCUGGAGCUAAUACCUUCGGGGGAUGACGGUACCGGAAGAAUAAGCACCGGCUAACUUCGUG